UACGUAGGGUGCAAGCGUUGUCCGGAAUUAUUGGGCGUAAAGAGCUUGUAGGCGGUUUGUCGCGUCUGCUGUGAAAUUUCGGGGCUCAACCCCGAACUUGCAGUGGGUACGGGCAGACUAGAGUGUGGUAGGGGAGACUGGAAUUCCUGGUGUAGCGGUGAAAUGCGCAGAUAUCAGGAGGAACACCGAUGGCGAAGGCAGGUCUCUGGGCCAACACUGACGCUGAUGCACGAAAGCGUGGGGAGCAAACAGG
rnacentral:rRNA from 1 species